rnacentral:rRNA from 1 species
UACGGAGGGGACUAGCGUUGUUCGGAAUUACUGGGCGUAAAGCGCACGUAGGCGGAUUUGUAAGUCAGGGGUGAAAUCCCGGGGCUCAACCUCGGAACUGCCUUUGAUACUGCAAAUCUCGAGUCCGGAAGAGGUGAGUGGAAUUCCUAGUGUAGAGGUGAAAUUCGUAGAUAUUAGGAAGAACACCAGUGGCGAAGGCGGCUCACUGGGCCGUAACUGACGCUGAGGAGCGAAAGCGUGGGGAGCGAACAGG